CUUGCCCCUAGAAAAGGUGCAUGUGUGGCUGCUGUGUCACCUGUGUGUCAGUAGGUGGCAGAGAGGGGAGAGAGGCUAAGUCUAUGCUCAGUGUUCUGACUUGGGAACAUCUUAAUGAUUACUAGUCUAAUGAU